UUUUUUGUUUUGGUUAUUUACUGAAAGCCAUUGCGCCACACGCAUGCACGCUCAUACAAAAUCAAACAAACAAUAUCCUGCUUCGUGGAUUACUUCAGACGUCCAUCUAUCAAGAUCAUCAAAACUUGGAAUUCAAGAGCAAAGAGCUAAUCACAACCAUAGCCCAGUCAUCCAGCAGCUGAUAACCGUGACAGAGCUCCUCGGUCUGCUUCUCAGAAGCUGAACUGGUCAACAACAACAAUGACUGGGACCAGCAGUGCUCUGCUUCAUGUAAAUUACCUUCAUAGUUGCCGCCAGUGUGGCCGAGCGUGACUGUGGCUCAAGCUGGCUCCAUGCCAGGGGACAACAGGAAGCAACUGAUGCGUCUUUGGAGACACUGACAGCACAGAUGCUGAAUCUGGAAAGGUAGAGACUGGAAAGGGCUGCUGUGCUCCCAGGGAAUGACAUUUUCAGCAGACAGGCAGGGAGAGUGACUGAGAAUAAGUGCCCCUCCCACUCCCCCUGCACCCAUGGGUCUCACAGGGAAGGUGUUUCCUGGGUUCUAGAAUAUUCUCACUGGGGACAGCCUCCUAUCAGCCACAGUGCUCAAGGUCUUGUGGAGAUGGAGGGCAGCUGAUACAGGCUGAUUGGAUGAUGGAGGGCAGCUGAUCCAGGCUGAUUGGAUGACCUGUCCAGAGGGGCCUCCAGGGAAGGCCCCAAUGUGGCAAAUUAGAGUGCCUCCAGCCAGGAGGCACAAAAGACACAAAGGCGGAUGAAACGCUGCAUUUCAUCCCAGCACCUGUGUGCUGGGCUCCGCCAGCCAUUCUUAAAUAUCACACGUCUAAUUCAGCACAGCCAGACCAUUUCAGAUGGCCAUCAAAAGCAAAAGAGUACAGAUGGAUGCAAGAUAAAGGCUUGUUACAUACCACACACGAUUGGGUUUCAUUUUCGCGAUACUGGAAAGCAUUUAAAAUGUAAUUGCUUGCAUACAAAAAAAGAAAGCCUGCAUUUUUGCUUGUGGAUGACAAAGAUGUCCUUCUGUCGUGUGUUUGUGUGUAUUUGUACAAUAGUUGAUUUUGCUCAUGUUUCUAUUUUUAUGUUGGUUAAUUACACCCAAUAGAAUUUGUGUGGGUUUGUAUGUAUAUGUGUAUGCUGAGGGUGGAAUGGUGGGUGGAUAUAUGUUUCUCUGUGUAUGUGCAUGUGUACAGGGCAAUGAAGCAUGCAGGUAUGUGCGUAUAACCAAGUUCCAAUCCAUGUACAAUUCACAUUCUAUUGCAGCUGCAACCUUUUUGCACACGGUACAUUUUGAUGAAGCUUGUGCCCGCUAAGUGGAAAACAGAUAUCCAUACUUUGCAAGUCACCGUAAUCCUAUAAAUGGCAGUUACACAACACAGGAACCUGUGUAAUCUCCUUUAACACCUACUAUUAAUGUUCCUCCUCCAGCUCCGCUCACCAUAAUCCAUGUUAUUUGGACCUAUUUAAAAUGACCCCUUGUACCUUCAGACUCUAGCACUCUGCCAAAACUCCCAUCAGGAAGGAAGUGAACAUGCAAAAGGGGAAUUUAAAUGAGUAUUACUGGGAAGCCUGGAUAUCCCCACACUAGGACAUCAACUGCAUUAACAUCCAACGUAUUUGCUCAAAGUGACAUCAUAACUGCCCUUGCUGGCACGUCGACCACACAGCACACCCAACAGUCAUGUGUUGUUGUUUUGUUUAUGUUUUGCAUAGUAGAACACAAAAGAACACAAAGAAUCCACAGUGAAGGCACUAUCUAUCAAUUUUAGUCUACGUGUAGGACCGUGAUCAUUAAUUUAUGGUUGUUUAUCUGCUAUCAUUAAAUUAUAAUUAACGUUCUUUCACAGUAUGUUUGAUUGUGAUGACAAACAUGGUUAAUGUUUACAUGUCUUCUGGAAGUAACUUCAGGAAACCAUUUUUAGUGUUUAUGGUGGACUUUGUAUUUAUUGAAAUAUUUAACGUAUGUAAUGCAACUUUUUAAACAUGUUU